rnacentral:rRNA from 1 species
GACGAACGCUGGCGGCGUGCUUAACACAUGCAAGUCGAACGGGCCCGCUCUCUUUUUUGGGGGUGGGUUGAGUGGCGAACGGGUGAGUAUCACGUGAGUAACCUGCCCCCUGCUCCUGGAUAACUGCUUGAAAGGGCGGCUAAUACGGGGUGUGCCGGCUGGUCCGCAUGGGCCUGGUCGGGAUAGUUUCAUCUUCGGGUGUUUCGGUGGGGGAUGGGCUCGCGGCCUAUCAGCUUGUUGGUGGGGUGAUGGCCCACCAAGGCGGUGACGGGUAGCCGGCCUGAGAGGGUGGGCGGCCACACCGGGACUGAGACACGGCCCAGACUCCUGCGGGAGGCAGCAGUGGGGGGUAUUGCACAAUGGGCGGAAGCCUGAUGCAGCGACGUCGCGUGAGGGAUGGAGGCCUUCGGGUUGUGAACCUCUUUCUCCGGUGGUGAAGGCCCUGUCCGUUGCGGCGGGGUUGACGGUAGCCGGGUAUGAAGCGCCGGCUAACUACGUG